rnacentral:lncRNA from 1 species
UCACUCCCACAGUGCCUCCCCUAACAGCACCAAAUCUGUUUCCAGGCAGUGGGCAAGCAGGGCUGAGAAUUGCCCCAGACUACCCACCUCCCAGCUGCAAAGGAAAAGGGCUCAGUUCUUCCCCCACCUGUGGAGUCUGCAUGCUGGAUUCCCGUUCUCCCCAGAGUUCUGGCCAGGAGGCUUCUUGCCUGGUUCAAAUUGUUAUGAAGUUCAGCUGGAGACUUCCUUCUCCCUGUGGCAUUUUCCCCACACCUCUAGCUGCCCUCCUGAAGGAUCCUGGUGGUGCCAGGAGCAGUCUGCUUCCUUCAAGAGGGUCUGUGGGUCCUCUCGGCAUUCCUGGUUUAUUCCUGCAGUUGUUCUGGAGCUAAAAUUCAUGAUGUGAGCCUCCGUAUGCUGCUCUGUCUGUCCAAGUCGGAGCUGCAAUCUGGUUCUGCCUCCUGUCUGCCGUGGUGAUCCCUGUUGUAGUUUCUGUGUGUCUUCUUUUGAGAAAUGCCUUGCGCCCUCCCGCUCUUCCAGGAUAACUCAGGGCCUCCAUCUCCUCCUUUGAAAACUCCGUUCCUCCCCUUCACCUCCACCUGAUUAUUCAUGUCGUGAAGAAACUGGUCUACUUGUCCUGUAGAAUCGCCCGUAUUGUGGAUUUGGCCAUUGCUUCUACAUGAUGAUAAGAGAAUGUUACAUUAGCAGAGACAUCCAUUAAACAGGAGAGCUGAGGCCAUCUGACGCUGAGAAUCACAAUAACAGGGACAAAGCCAAAAGGGAAGGAAAAUGGGGGCCAAAAUGGUGAGGGGAGCCAAAAAGCGUGAGAAGAAGCACGCUCAGCCUCACUGGCUCCUGACUUCUCUCUGAGUGAGUUCCGGCUUUCUGCAUCUCCCCUCCUUGCCCUGGCACCUCGGCCUUCAGGCAGGAUGGUGGGGUGAAGCCAGCGAGGGAGGAAGGUGCCGGGGCAUCUCCCCCUCUGCCUGCACUGCUGGGCUAACACUUACAAAGGAAGAUUUGAAAAAGUCUCUGAAACUGCAGGCUCAAAGAAAGGACAAAUGCACUUCCAAUCAAAUCAGUGUUGAAGGGGCAGCAUCUUUAUCAUCUGCCAUCCUUAAGAUUCAUUUCACAUUCAAAUAAAUAGAAAACUACUUGCAAAGGCAAAUUAGACCCAGAUUUACCCGCAGGUGGCAUUUCAUGCCAUAACUUGAUGGCACUUCAUCAACAUCGGCUUUUCUGGGCUCACUGAUUAGUUCAUGCUGUAUGAAAAGUGCUUUACCAUAAUUUUUCAUUAUCUUCACAAGUUAUGCCAUUUGGAAUCAUGUAAGGUGGCUAAUGUUUCAGGGAUUCUUUUAAACACUUUACAAUAAGAGAUUCAAAGGCCAACUGCUGGUGACUCAGGGACCAUUAAGACAUCUGAGACAUGACCAUGAUUAAAGAUUAGUUGCGAUAGUUAUUUGGAUAUUAUAGAGUCUUUGAAAUAUAGAAACACUCACACAAACUAAUGACGAUGAGCAUCCGGGGCUUGGUGUUUCUCUGUGUCAGCUGCAGUAGAGGUGGGCGGCUCUCAAUUCAGGCUCACUCCAUGUCAGUUUCACAAGAAAACGCCAGUGCUGCCCCCAGCUCCCCUAGCUGCUAGGGCAGGUAUUUCUAUUUUCCAUGCAGCACAGAAGAGGGGGCCUUACCACAGACACCAGGAAGAAUAAUGUCAAACCCAUAGCAAUCCAAACCUGGGAGAAGCUUGAAAACUGAGGAUUGGUCUUGUCAAUCCUACUGGCGGGUCUUGCCAGUUUUAAAAAAUGAAAUACAACAGAAUGCAACAGAAUGGGAAACAAUCAGAGCACAUUAAAAGAAUAAGUACUACUUUGUGAUACUUUUCAGUUAUGUAUGUGGGUAUCAGUGUGUACUGAGGGUUGAUGAGAAAUGUAUUUUUAAAAUGUGAGUCAAGUUAAAAGACCUCAAAGAAUGAUGCUCUAAGAAAUUAUAUACUGGAGACAGUCACGAUUAUAUAUUGGAUGACGAAAAACAAAAUAAAAAUUAAAAAUUAGAAAUUUAUAAUUUACCCCUGGAA